rnacentral:rRNA from 1 species
AUGACCUUGCACUUUUGGAGCGGCCGAUGUCUGAUUAGCUAGUUGGUGGGGUAAUGGCCUACCAAAGCUUCGAUCAGUAGCUGGUCUGAGAGGACGGCCAGCCACACUGGGACUGAGACACGGCCCAGACUCCUACGGGAGGCAGCAGUGGGGAAUUUUGGACAAUGGGCGCAAGCCUGAUCCAGCCAUGCCGCGUGAGUGAAGAAGGCCUUCGGGUUGUAAAGCUCUUUCAGUCGGGAAGAAAAGGUUGCGACUAAUAAUCGCAAUUCAUGACGGUACCGGAAGAAGAAGCACCGGCUAACUACGUGCCAGCAGCCGCGGUAAUACGUAGGGUGCGAGCGUUAAUCGGAAUUACUGGGCGUAAAGGGUGCGCAGGCGGUUUUGUAAGUCAGAUGUGAAAUCCCCGGGCUUAACCUGGGAACU